rnacentral:rRNA from 1 species
CAUAAUCAUUAGUUUUUUAAUUGAAAACUUGUAUGAAUGAUUUAACAAAAGAAAUUCUGUCUUUAUAUUUAAAAUUGAAUUUAACUUUUAAGUGAAAAGGCUUAAAUUACUUAAGAAGACGAUAAGACCCUAUAAAGCUUUAUAAUAAAUCAUUUUUUUUAUAAAUAGAUUAUAUUAAAAGAAAUUAAUUUAUUAUUGUAUUGGGGUGAUAAAGAUAAAAUUAAAAAUAACUGUUUUAGAAAAAAACAUAAAUUUAUGAAAUAUAAAUGAUCCUGAAAAUUUAGAUUAGAAGAAUAAGUUACUUUAGGGAUAACAGCGUAAUUUCUUUUAAGAGUUCAUAUUGAAAAAGAAGUUUGUGACCUCGAUGUUGAAUUAAAAAAUCUUUACAGUGCAGCCGUUGUAAGAAG